UCCUUUUAUGCAACUCACUGAGCUCCUUUCAUGUGUUUUCAUUUAGCUACCCCUUUUUUUUUUAGUCAUUUUUAUUUAAUUUACAAAACAAGCCUGUCCUCCCGUAACAUUUGUGUGUGUUGUGUAACAGUCUGGUCCUGGUCUCCGUAGUUGGACGUUACAGUUUUUAAAUGUCUCUAGUAACACUUACUUUACCUCUUGCUGGCCCUUUUCACCACCUGCUCCCUCUUUUUAAUUACUUGGUUUCCUUAUUCCAGAGCCAGACUCAUCCUCCUCGCUUCCUCCAAGUCAGAGCUUGGCUUUCCGUCUUGGACCCCGUCGCGAACAUAUUUCUGGACGUCCCGCCUGGCAACGCCUCCGAGACCCAGGAAAAAAAAAUAAAAUAAAAAAUUCUCCUUUACUACCGCGUGCCCUGACGACGUCCCAGUAAAAACCCAUAUACGUCUGGUUUCACGCACAGGUGAAACCAGACGUAUAUGUUUCAGUGGAAACUGACUCGCGGCCACAGUAACGGGGCCUAAUUUGUUAAGCACAAAUUAACAACGCGUUGACGCUUUGACCUCGACGCUUUGUGACGGGUUCUGGAGCUAAAACGGCGUCGCUGAGCACGCUCCGGUAACCGCGGCGAGUCCUUUUUUUUCCCCCCCUCUGCCUUUUUCACACACAUCCCGACGAAGAGAUAAAAGCCUCCUGAAAGCAGCCAAUAAUACAACUGCGAGCCAUAAAUCUCCGGCAAUCUGUGCGGCUGCUUUAACAGCUCAGCGAGUGUCGCCGGCCCCGCGAGCCACCAAAGAUGGGCUGCCCUCUCUCCGCCGUUUUCACCAGCGUGACCCUCAGACACGCAGAAAACGUUCGCUCUUCUGUGUGCUGUUCAACCUCUGCCGAACAGCAGGACGGUAAAGAGCGACCAGGUUUCCGUCUGUCACAGAGGAGUCUUUGGACGCCUGAAUGUCUGCUUUGGUUUCUUGAAAUGUAGUCAUCUCAGCGAUUCUUAAAUUAAGCAGAUUCCUGGGAGUUACUGUGAAUAUUAAAGACCUGGGAGAUGCCGACAGACCAGAUGUGUUACAUCGCUCUCAUCUGAUGGAUCUCUCAGGGAUUCAACCAGUUCUCUUCCCCCCCUUCGCUUUGCUCUCCGAGUCGCCAACCUCUGCCAAGCAGCUGUACGCCCCGAUAUUUCACCCAGGUCUGCUGCGAUAAACUGCCAGGGCUAAGAGGCAACUUCAGACUUGCAAAUUGCAUACCGAUUCCCCCGACUGGGAGGUGUAUUUACAUUGUUGUUUCCGUAUGGGGUUUUUUGUAAGCUAUGAAAAAAAAAAAAAAAUAGAGAAGAGUUUCCCGACGAGGCACGGCAUAUUUAAAGGGAAUACUGUUGAAUUUUCUUAGAGGUGUGAAUCCAUGUUUAUUUCAUAUUCCGUGGUGGAGAGGGUCUAUUAUCUUGGAGGUCUUCUUGUGGUUUAACUUUUCUAGAGGAAAAUUUAUACCUACCAAGUCAUUUUUGUUCAACUACGCCAAACUACGGGUUGCGACUCAUGAUUCUAGUGUCUUGCAUUGCAUUAAAGUGAUUUCAUGAAUUAUCUGGUGUGUGACAAACAUUAAUAGGGACAGUGAAUUAUGUAGCCACCUGCUGUUGCUAACAGCUGUGACUGUGACCUGACCCUGUGCUGCCCCCAAACACCACUGGGAGGUUCGAAUGAAAUGUUGGAAAUGAAUUAAAGAUCUCGCCAACUUG